AAUAGAUACCCGGGUAGUCCAUGCCGUAAACGUUGGGAACUAGAUGUAGGGCCUGUUCCACGGGUUCUGUGUCGUAGCUAACGCAUUAAGUUCCCCGCCUGGGGAGUACGGCCGCAAGGCUAAAACUCAAAGGAAUUGACGGGGGCCCGCACAAGCGGCGGAGCAUGCGGAUUAAUUCGAUGCAACGCGAAGAACCUUACCAAGGCUUGACAUAUACGAGAACACUGUAGAGAUACAGGACUCUUUGGACACUCGUAUACAGGUGGUGCAUGGUUGUCGUCAGCUCGUGUCGUGAGAUGUUCGGUUAAGUCCGGCAACGAGCGCAACCCUCGUCCUAUGUUGCCAGCACGUGAUGGUGGGAACUCAUGGGAUACUGCCGUGGUCAACACGGAGGAAGGUGGGGAUGACGUCAAAUCAUCAUGCCCCUUAUGUCUUGGGCUUCACGCAUGCUACAAUGGCCGGUACAAAGGGCUGCGAUACCGUAAGGUGGAGCGAAUCCCAAAAAGCCGGUCUCAGUUCGGAUUGGGGU
rnacentral:rRNA from 1 species